AGUGAACGCUGGCGGUAGGCCUAACACAUGCAAGUCGAACGGCAGCACAGGAGAGCUUGCUCUCUGGGUGGCGAGUGGCGGACGGGUGAGGAAUACAUCGGAAUCUACUCUGUCGUGGGGGAUAACGUAGGGAAACUUACGCUAAUACCGCAUACGACCUACGGGUGAAAGCAGGGGACUUUCGGGCCUUGCGCGAUUGAAUGCGCCGAUGUCGGAGUAGCUAGUUGGUGGGGUAAAGGCCCACCAAGGCGACGAUCCGUAGCUGGUCUGAGAGGAUGAUCAGCCAAACUGGAACUGAGACACGGUCCAGACUCCUACGGGAGGCAGCAGUGGGGAAUAUUGGACAAUGGGCGCAAGCCUGAUCCAGCCAUACCGCGUGGGUGAAGAAGGCCUUCGGGUUGUAAAGCCCUUUUGUUGGGAAAGAAAUCCAGCUGGCUAAUACCCGGUUGGGAUGACGGUACCCAAAGAAUAAGCACCGGCUAACUUCGUGCCAGCCGCCGCCGUAA
rnacentral:rRNA from 1 species